rnacentral:misc_RNA from 1 species
GUUAUAGCAGCAUAUUUGUUGAAUCGCAACUAGGUUUACAGUACAAUUCUAUUUGAUGUGAACCAAUAAACAAAAUUUCCAUUUAUCAGAAUGAUUCAUCAAAGAAGACAGCCUUUGGACUUUCUCAGCUAGCAACUUCAAGAAUCAAGAGAACUUCCGUUUAGUUAUCAGUCUACAUUUUUUGGAAGGUAAGGUCCACUGGUUUUUAAGUUUUUACAAGACCUAAACUCUUAAUUUUUUUCCCCAAAUAACAGAAUAACCAAAAUCAAUUUACAUGGAAGAAAUAAUAAAUUAUAGCUAAACUACAAUUCUUUUCAUCACCUGAGCUCUUUCUACUGUCAAAUCUAGACUUUGUCUAGUGUAUUUAAAUCAAAGUGGAAAGCAGAAGAGCCUAUCUACCUAACAUCGUCUCCCACUGAUUCAUUCAGCAAUUUGGUGAACUACUGAGCUGAUAUCCAACUUAGCAAGUCGCAAUGACUGUUUCAUCUUCCACCCAGUGGAAACAGCAGAAGAUACAACAGAAGAAGACCAAUUCGUGGUGAACCUUGUUUAAAUGAAAUAAGGAGAGAAUUUCCAUGCCUGGAAAAGUGGAUGAAUUGAUUUUGUAUAUCAAACCUAAACUGUGCUUGUCAGAAGCUCCGUUCUCGUUUCAGAAUCGGAAUUCUCAUGUUGACUACUCUUGACAUUGCUUGUUGAUGUUCUUGUUCUAGGGAGAGAAAGAGGGGAGUUACUUAAAACAAUAAAUUGAUCUUUUCUGUUUUCAUCUGAAAUUGAAUCUGUGCCUGAAAGAAUGCGCUUUAGAUGGGACCGCUGGCAGGUAAUCCGACCUUUAUUCCAUACAGGGAAAGAAAAUGACGAUGAAACAUUAUCCUGCAGAAAGGAAUAAAUUGCCUUAACAAUGGGAAGUUCUUGUGAAACAGAGCUUUUCUCCAUCCGCCCCCGUCUGCUCACAAGGAAAGAAAUGUUGCCAUUAGUGAGAGAAUAGAGGUUUAAACAAUCCAAUAGACAGGUCGAUAUCCAUUAGAUACACAAAACGCAAAAAGAAAAUCAAACCCAAAUUACACAACACAGGCCAUUCUUUCUUCCCAGCAACUUUCCACUAUCUCGCUGUGCUUAUAGUCUGCAGCUUGUUACCAACAGAACAUCCUCUUUUAAUAGCACUGUAAUAACACUAAUAAUACCUCCGAGAUGCACAACAGCAGUUUGACUAAUAGUUGGUCUUCACAUUAGCCACAAACAAGUUUACUUGUACUCAAAUCUCAAAUUAUUCUUAACCAUGUUUUUAUCCAAACAGAUAUGAACUACAUAUUCCCAACUGAGUUCACUUAUUUAUUAAAUAUUUCCACAAAACAAACUUAGAAACAUGGAUAUUGAUCCAAGAGGCUUAAUAAUCCAACAGCCAAACAUAACUAUCACAUGCAUAUGUAUACACAUAGAUCAGAUAUGUUGUACAUUAUAGACAUUCAAUAAAGUUCAGUCACAAGUGAUAGACCGCUAAAUGCACCAUUGAGUAGCAUCAUUUUAUCAAAGUUGAGGGUUUUACAAGAAGAAGAGAAGGGUGAUAAGAAUAAUGGGUUGGCCUUGUUACUUACAGCAUCAAAUAAAAUAGUUUAAACUAGUAGGUGGAGUCUCCUAAAUGCCAUAUAAAACCAUAUUGAACCAAAUCAACACAUCUCCCUCACAAACAGGAUCAAUUGAAUCAGACAGACACAACAUAAUUGACAUAAUUGAGAAGGAACAACAAUGCACAUUACAAUAUGGCUUUCUCUAAUACCACUUAAAAGGCACCCAACUCAAACAUUUAAACUAGUAGGAUAAAGGCUAUAAGCCCAACUCAAACAUUUAAACUAGUAGGAUAAAGGCUAUAAGACCAUGUAGGGCCAUCCUAAACUUUAUACUUGACCAACAUGGGAUUGCUUAAUAGAGAGAAUUGAAGAAAUCAAGAUAUUUUGUGACGCUCCAAAUAAAGCUAUAUGGUAAGAAAAGGUUACAUGGCUGACAGUAAUUUGGAAUCAAGGCUUUAAUGAGCUGACUUCAAAUUGGUGUUGCCAAUACGAGUCCAGUUCUCCCCAUCUUUUACAAAAUUAAAACAAGAAAUGUACAGAGGAGAAAUGACUUACACUGCAACAACUGAUGCUACAUGAGGAAGAUCUACCCUCUCCAAGAACAUCUUGUACAUAUUAUUGAGCCAAACAGAUAUUGCUGUGCAUGCACUGCCUUCCCACAUCCUGUGCACAUCCACAGACCAUACAAGUUUGCUUUUACGAAAGAGUUCAGGGAAAAGCCCUCGUUUGGUUGCUUCCCCGAGCACUCUGGCAGCCCGUUUUUUCUGACCCAGCCACCAAAGUGCUUCCAAAAGUGUGUUAUAAAACCUCAUUCCCAGACCACAACCUUCAGAGUUCAGUUUGUCAAAGACAUACUCAACCAUUUGCCAGUUAGAGUCAUCAUCAUAAUCUCCUUUGAUCAUCUGCCCAAUCACUUGAUGAAUGUUUGAUGCCCUAUUUGUGACCAUCUCAUCAAGCACCCCAUAGGCAUCACUCCAUCUGUUAUUCUUAGCAUAAACAGCCAGCAUCAUGCAGUAGCACAUAACACUGGGCAAUAUUCCUAAAGCUCUAAUUUCCCGGAAUUGCUCCUCACUCUCAUCAACAAGACCUGCAGUGCAGUAGACACUCAAACCUGCCUCAAGGGUCCACUCAUCAGGCUCAAAUCUUGCUUUUUCCAUAUCAACAUAAGCCUUGAGAGCUUCUUCAAACUGGCCUCCUUGUCUAUAACCUUCAAUCACACCAUUGAAAGAAUCCCUAUCCUGUGCAACCCCAGAUUCACCCAUUUUCCACAAAAUUGCUUCAGAUUCCUUGUAAAGUCCGCCUCUUGCAAACAUAUAAAUUAAUGAAUUAUAAGUCUCAACAGUUGGCUUGCUUCCCAUUUCAUUCAUUGUAUUAAACAUAACAAGAGCCUCCUCAUACAAUGCAGCCUGUCCAUAUGCUUCAAUAACGCUGGUAUAUGCCUUUGAGCUUGGCACUAUCCCCUUCUCAUCCAUAUGAAGUAAAAUUUUCUUAGCAUCUUCAUGUAGCCCUCCUUUACCACAAGCAUAUAUCAACCCCUCAUAAGUCCCCAUAUUUGGCUCCACAUUCUCCUCCACCAUAUCAUGAAACAAGGUUACUACCUCCUUAAAAUACCCACCCUCACCAAACACCUCUAUAAGUAUAUUAUAUGUUGCCACAUCAGGCUCCGUGUUACUAACUUUCAUCUCCAAGAAAAGCUCCCUAACAUCAUCAUAUCUCCCAUGUCUCCCAUACAAAUUCAACAACGUACUAUAGGUCACUGCAUUUGGAACACACCCGGCCUCUUGCAUCUGCCUAAACACCCCCAUUGCAUCCUUAAUGUUCCUUUUGCUUGCAUAUGCCCCUAACAACACAUUAUAUGACGAAAUUUCGGGUAAAUUGCCACUAGAUUCCAUUUCUUUAAGUAAUUCACUAACCUUCUCUAACUUAUUCAAUUUCCCAAAUGUUUCAACGAGAUUACGGUAAGUUGUUAUAUCAGGCACCAUUCCUCCUUCAUUCAUUGUACGAAAAACCAUCUCAGCCUCAUCCCCUAAACCCCUAUUAGCACAAGCACAAAGCAAAGUAUUAUAAGUAACAAUAUCAGACUGUACCCCUUCAUGCCUCAUUUCGGCAAAUAAACUUAACAGACCCUCCCAAUCUAACCCACCUCUGGCGCAAGAAUUUAUCACAGUAUUAUAAGUAAGGAUACUCGGGGGAACCUUUUCUUUCUUCAUUCUCUCUAGAAGCUCAAGCGAGACCUCGUACUGGCCGUGACGCCCGAAAGAGUUUAUCAAAGCCGUGUAGGAGAAGACACUACGCGGUACGCCGUGGGUCGGCAUUUCUUCGAAAAUCUCGGCGCACUUUUCGAGGAGGCCUUCGCGGCCUAAUAGACUAAUCAUGAUCGUGUAUAUGUGUUCGUUGGGCUUGCACCAAAUCUGGCGCUGCAUAUACUUGAAAAGGCGAAGCGAUCUCUGCCAGUCCCCGCGCUGGGCGAAUUCCUUGAAGACCAAAGCGAAGUCGUUUAGGGAGAGCUUGUUCUUAAAUACUUCAAGGCAACGUGCGAUGCUACCACGGGGAGGGAGGCUGCUGAGCUUGUUGAUUAGGGUUUCAACGUCGUAGCUGUACUUGCCUUUCUCGACGACGACGGAUGGAGUGCCGAGGACGAGUUCUUUCGGUUUGGCCCGGGCUUUUCCGGCGCCAGAGUAGGUUCUCCUUUCGCCAGAGACUGAGAUGAGUCGACGAUGGACUGGGAAACCGGAGAAAGAGAAACAGGGAGGUUUAGACUUGGGUUUAAGGAGUCCUGUGGAGAUGGGCGAAGGAUUGGGAAUGCAAAGAGAGGGCAAGUUGGUCAUUUUGGUAAUUUGGAUAGCAUGAGCUGUUCAGAGACAGUUAUGGAUUGCUUGGGAGCUCGCUAAGAUAGAUAAAGCAAAUUUUCUCAGGAAAACUGAAGUUAGGAUAGAAAUUUGAGUAGAAUAUUCUCGGGAAAUUGAGGUUCACAGCUGGGAGAGGGAGAGAGUGGGAGCUUUGAACUAGCUUGAAG